ACGCCUGCUAGGCGGAUGAGCUCCACCCCAGACACCCAGGGCCAGUAUCGUUGCCAGUCUUAUUAAGAUCUACAUUAUGGUUCGUCCUCAUCUCACAUACAGUGUUAAUCUUGGAAAGCAUCUUGGAGCCAAACUGGCUUUUUAGAAAAAGGAAGAAAAUGAGUCGGAGGAGGUUCUUAUACCGAGCUCCAGAACCGGGAGGGUUGGGACUUGAAUCUACGUGUCCCUAUCCCUGGCUCCAUGCAACCUAGUCCAGAGAAGCAAAGAGUAGCAGAAAAUAUACCGAUGACUAACAUCUUUCCACCCCAACCUCUGGUGGCCAGUCUUCUACUCCUGGUUCUGUAAGCCAUUCUUUUGAAGCCCCACACACAAAUGCUCACAGAAGCCAGAAGAGGGCGUUGGAUCCCCUGGAGUUGGAGUUACAGUAUCAUCCUGGUACUCACAGUAAUCCUCCUGCGGUAGCCCCUUGGUGCUGUGAUUAUAGAUGUGCACCACACCAAGCAAGUGAUGUAAAACUUUUAAAGUGGGAAGUUUAAUCUGCAAAGUUGUCACAAAAGGGGCCCUGUCAUCCUCUGGGAAGUUCAGUGAAAAAUAAAAAUAAGGGGUGGGGGGAGGAAACAUCUAUGAUCCUGAGUCAGAUUCCAAGCCUUCCAUUUUUAAGCUUUUGGAGGAACAUGAAAGUUCAGUUUUCCCACACUGCCCUGUCUCAGGGCACCUGCCUUUCUUUUGCAUGGUGAUAGCUCUGUUAAAAGGCCUCUUAGCAGAGUGCUUGCCUGGUAUGCGAGAGACCUUGGGGUGGGUUACCAGGUGUGGUAUUGCAUGGUACCCGCAGUCCUGACCCUCGGGAGGUGGGAGUGAUUGCAUCAGAAGUCCAAGGUCAUUCUCUGCCACAUAGCAAGUUUGAGAAUGAUCUGGGGUACGUGAGACUCUUUUUGUUGUUGUUUGUUUGUUUUAAGACUCUGGAGGUAGCUAUCCUUUAGUCAGCUGUGGUCACACAGGAAAAUGUAGCACAAGAUAGCAGGAGUUCCGCCGUACCCGGCUGGGACAGCUGCAGAUGGAUCUGCGGGGACACACCUGUCUGUCCGCACACAAGGAGCAGCAAGGCUCCGUCCUGGUUCUCAGUGCUUUGAAUGCCUGCUGUCCAGUUCUCAGAACAUGCUCAAGGGAGGUUGCACCUUGUUGCCAAUUUUAUAGAUGGGAAACUGAAUCAUGAAGAGUUUGGAUGACUUCUGUAGUUUCUCCAAAGGUGCUGCUGAGCAACAUGCCUGGCUACAUCAUACCGCAUCUUCAUGUGUAACCACAGAAUACAGCCUCCCCAAGAACAAAGAAAGCUGGAAGAAUACCAGAUGGCUGGAAAAACAGGCCCUGUCUAGAAUCAUGGGAAGGGAGAUAGGAGGGAGAACUUAUUUAUGCCAUUUGAACUUCUUUCUUGUAAUGAUAAUAGAUUCACAUGUUAGUGCAACUGAGACCUUUUAAGUUACAGUGAUUAAAGUCUUAAGUUGGGUUCAUAAUUCCCACAAUAUCACCACUACUUGAAAAUUGUCUGAAAAAAAAAAAAAGAAAAUUGUCUGGACAUGAAAUUGAG